CAGAGCCCGCCAGUCGCUGAGCCGGGGCCACACCUGGGGGUGACUCGCGCUCGCCUCCAGUAGGCACCUUGGCUCUGGGCUACUCCUGGCUCCCUUGCACUAACUCGCUGUCACCCAGCUCAUCCGCGCCUCCCUGGCUGCCCCAGGGGCUCACCACUAACCCCGACUCUGCCCAUCUGAGCGUUCCAGGCUCCUGGCCUGCCUCUCACUGGCUCUUAACCUCUCCUUCACCUCGACUAACUCCUGCCUUCCUGGUGUGUUCCUUUCAGCAGAAACUAAUGGCUUGUGGAUUUCUUUUUGACUAACAACAGGUCUAACGCUCCUCGUUACUAUUAACAGCUUGGAUGUCCGCAUGGCUGGG
rfam:Tupaia chinensis contig50822, whole genome shotgun sequence.